ensembl:lncRNA
AAUGGGCGCCUGUUCAACACUGAGUCAAGAGAGGAAAAUGCCACUUACUGAACCUCCAAGACUUAUUUCCAACAACCCAGAGCUCUUGGAGGUCUCCCAUCAAAACGCUAAGCAGGCCCUGCUGCUGCGUGCCUGUGAGACCUCACAAGCGCAGGACAAGGAGGAUGCUGUGCUGUUCAGGGCGCUCAAUUUGGAGAAAGAGCCUCCUGGAUUUCCAGCAGGGUGAUGCUGGAUGUGUCCUGCUUCACAUCUCACCCAUAGGUGGGUCGGCACAUAAACCCUACGGGUUUUGUUGGCAUGCAUUUGUUUCUGUGUGAGGCUUUGAAUGGGUCUGAGAGCAGCACGGGAGGGAGGAGGGGAUGGAAAAGGAAAAAGAAAGUAUUAUUUUCACACACGUUUUCAGGAGGUGCUUUUCUCCUGGCAUCACCUCCCAAGCAGUCAGCUCUCAGGCACAAACCUACAGCCAGAACAGUCCUCCACCAACUCAUAAUCCUCCACGUUCACCCAAAAUAAAUGAUGCUGGAGACAAAUCCUCCCUGACCAAGAGCUGUGCAGGAGUUAGGAGUUUAGGUUGGAUAUUGGGAAGAAGUUUUUCACGCAGAGGGUGGUGACGCACUGGAACAGGUUGCCCAAGGAGGUUGUGGAUGCCCCAUCCCUGGAGGCAUUGAAGGCCAGGCUGGAUGUGGCUCUGGGCAGCCUGGUCUGGUGGUUGGCGACCCUGCACAUAGCAGAGGGUUGAAACUCGAUGAUCAUUGUGGUCCUUUUCAAGCCACGUCAUUCUAUGAUUCUAUGAUUCUAUCUAAGAAGUGACCUGCUCUUGGCUUCCCCUAUUCAUGGCAGCAUCGUGCUGGGAAAUACCUCCAAGAAAGGAUCAAAAACCCCAUGGGAACGCACCUUGUUUGGAACACUGCCCGUUGAUGGCUGCCAGCUGUGGGUCCAGCAUCAGCAUCUCUCCAGGGGGGACCUCAGGUCGCUAUGCUGCCCAGUGUGGUCAUUUGAUGGCAGUUCUGUCAUUUGGGGAACACAGAGAAAAGGAACAUCGAAGCUCUGAUCUGGGAAGUGCUGUUUGGAAGGAGAGGGAUACCCAAUACCCUUACAGCAGCAUAGGCUCAUGAGAUGCCAAGAAGGAGUAAUGUGGGAUCCCACACUGAGCUGAAAGGGCAGAGACAGAGGCUGGGAAGAAUUCUCCCUUCCUUCCCAUGGGGCAGCCAAAUCCGUGCCCAUGGGGGCAUCAGCUACAGCUGAAGCCAUCCCAGUUGGAGCUGCUCCAGCUCUGCCCUCAGACUUCCUGGUUCAGAAGGCCUUAGGGCCUCCCUGCUCAACCCAUGCCAACGCUGCUCUAAUCUCUCGUUGGAAAAAUUGCCUUAUGUUAAAUCUAAAUGUCCCAGGAUGCUAUUUGUGUCCAUCUUAGCCUUUGCCCAGCACGAUGGAGAAAGAAGGGAAUCACUCUCACUGACCCUUCACAUGGUCUUCC